AUCAUGUCCAUCUACAAGGAGCCGCCCCCGGGGAUGUUCGUGGUGCCCGACCCCCACGACAUGACCAAGAUCCACGCGCUGAUCACGGGCCCGUUCGACACCCCCUACGAGGGCGGCUUCUUCCUGUUCCUGUUCCGCUGCCCGCCCGACUACCCCAUCCACCCGCCCCGCGUCAAACUCAUGACCACGGGCAACAACACCGUCAGGUUCAACCCCAACUUCUACCGCAACGGCAAGGUCUGCCUCAGCAUCCUGGGCACGUGGACAGGCCCGGCCUGGAGCCCGGCCCAGAGCAUCUCGUCGGUGCUGAUCUCCAUCCAGUCCCUGAUGACCGAGAACCCGUACCACAACGAGCCCGGCUUCGAGCAGGAGCGGCACCCCGGGGACAGCAAGAACUACAACGAGUGCAUCCGGCACGAGACCAUCCGCGUGGCCGUGUGUGACAUGCUGGAGGGGAAGUGUCCCUGCCCCGAGCCCCUGCGGGGGGUGAUGGAGAAAUCCUUCAUGGAGUACCUGGACUUCUACGAGGGCGUCUGCAAGGAGAGGCUGCACCUGCAGGGCCAGACCAUGCAGGACCCUUUCGGGGAGAAGCGCGGUCACUUCGAUUACCAGGCGCUGCUGGGGCGGCUGCAGGCGCUGCGGGCGCGGCUGCAGGAGCGGCAGCAGCAGCAGCAGCAGCAGCAGCAGCAGCAGGACAGCGCCGAGCUGGACUCGGAGAGCAGCUCCUCAGAGGCCGAGCCCGAGCCCCAGGGCUGCCCCAAGGCCUAGGGAGGGUCCGGCCCGGUCCGGCCCGGGACUGCAGCACAGCCAGGCCGGGGCGGGGAGAGCCGCAGGCUCCUCCUCCAUCCCUCCCUCCUGCCUUCCUUCCAUCCAUCCAUCCAUCCAUCCAUCCCUCCCGCCUUCCAUCCCUCCCCGACGGCCAGGAGAGUUCCCCGAGGAUUCCCCGAGGAGAAUUUCCCCCCCCAAAAAAAAAAAAAGAGACAAAGCCAAGCUCGGGACAGGCUCCUCUUGGACAAAGGCAAACCAAAGAGAAAGGAAUUCUCCCUGCUGGAAUUUGGGGCUCCAUCCCCAAAAUUUUACUCUUUGGAGACUCCCUGUGGAAAAAUGGGAACGGCAGGAAUCCAUGGAUUGGUUCAGCCUGGAGCUUUGGGGAAGGGAGAGGAUGAGGAGAAAUGCUCGUGGUUUAUUUCUGGAAUAUCCAGCUGAGCUUUUGGCAGGGCUUUCCUCCUGCUGGAGCUGCUUUGGAAUUCUCUGUCCCC